rnacentral:misc_RNA from 1 species
GAUGAAGAACGUAGCGAAAUGCGAUAAGUAGUGUGAAUUGCAGAAUUCAGUGAAUCAUCGAAUCUUUGAACGCACAUUGCGCCCCUUGGUAUUCCAUGGGGCAUGCCUGUUCGAGCGUCAUUUGUACCUUCAAGCUUUGCUUGGUGUUGGGUGUUUGUCCUGAGGGACUCGCCUUAAAGUGAUUGGCAGCCAGUGUUUGGUUUUGAAGCGCAGCACAAGUCGCGAUUCAAAGCUAUACGCCCGCUUCCACAAGCCUUUUUCACUUUUGACCUCGGAUCAGGUAGGGAUACCCGCUGAACUUAAGCAUAUCAAUAGCGGAGGA